rnacentral:rRNA from 1 species
AUACGUAGGGAGCGAGCGUUGUCCGGAAUUACUGGGUGUAAAGGGAGCGUAGGCGGGAGUGCAAGUCAGAUGUGAAAUACAUGGGCUCAACCCAUGGGCUGCAUUUGAAACUGCAUUUCUUGAGUGAAGUAGAGGUAAGCGGAAUUCCUGGUGUAGCGGUGAAAUGCGUAGAUAUCAGGAGGAACACCGGUGGCGAAGGCGGCUUACUGGGCUUUUACUGACGCUGAGGCUCGAAAGCGUGGGGAACAAACAGGAUUAGAUACCCUGGUAGUCCACGCUGUAAACGAUGAUUACUAGGUGUGGGGGGACUGACCCCUUCCGUGCCGCAGUUAACACAAUAAGUAAUCCACCUGGGGAGUACGGCCGCAAGGUUGAAACUCAAAUGAAUUGACGGGG